rnacentral:antisense_RNA from 1 species
AGGAGGAAUUUAUCAAAGGAGACAGAAAAAGCAUCAAGGCAAGCUGUGAAAUGGUGCAGUAGGAACCAAAUAGAGAGCCAAAGGAUCUCUCUGUCACUGCAGGCCCUUAGGGAGGACACAGCAAGAAGCCUCUCCCAGAUGCUGGCACCUUGAUCUUGGACUUCCGCAGCCUCUGGAAUUGUGAGAGAGGAGGUCUCACUGUAUCAGCUCAGCUGGAGUGCAGUGGUGAGAUCAGAGCUCACCGCAGCCUCCAAACUCCUGCUCUCAAGCAAUCCUCCUGCCUCAGCCUCCCAAGUAGCGGGGACUACAGAGAAUAUACAACUCCUCUGCCACAACGUGAGGGAGAGAAGUCUGCAGACGGCUGACUGGUGAAGACUGAACAAGACGGAAAGUUGCCAACAGCAGAGACAACUGUGAGACACAGUGAAAUGAAGUGACUGCUCCACUACUGGGCAACAGGCGACCCGGUUGCCAGGCUCCCUGGCAGAAGAAAUAGAAAGUCAAUAGCAAACACGGAUGCCUUCCUUCCUACCACAUCACCUCCACUUUUCACCAUCGCCUGUGUGAUACACCCACCUCGCAAUGCCUUCCUCAGCCUUUUACUUCUGUUUCCAGUGAGUCAAGAAAAACUUCUCCAGCUUGCCCUGUGGAGAUGAAUGAACCCAUAAUCCACUACACAGUGACUGUGACCUUUACACAGCCAAGACCCCCACAGAGCAGCCAAACAUGCAGUCCUGCAAACAAAAGGAAUUU